AUGCCCAGAACUCAGAUGAGAUGGAGGGGUGAACCAAGAGAACAGGUGGAGCCAGAAUGGGCAUCAUCAACGGGUGGUGAAUUACGACUUCCUGCAUAUGGAGUGCCUCAUUAUGCUUCCAGCAUACAGUAUGUAUCGCAUCAGGAAGAUUUGCUGUCUUCUUGGUCUGGACUCAUUGACUAUUGAGAUUUUAUGCAGCUGGCUACCAGAUUCUACAUUUCCUUGUAAGAAUAUUUGAAUAUAUUAGUUGGCCCCAAAAUAAUGGCAAAAACCACAAUCACUUUCACACCAACCUAAUAAUUAAAAAGGAGAAUAAGACAUUCAAAAGAGUUUCUUUCUGUUUUGUCAAAUAAACGUCAAGCAAGACGGAAAAAUGUCACCCAGAAAGAAGUGGUCAGCAUUAUUCAUCCAUUAGAAAUGGAUGUACCAAUCAUAAUUAGAGAUAAAAUCUGAACUUAUAUCUGCAUUGAUUUAUUUUCUAUUGCUUCUAAUUUUUUUCUCUUCUGAU
ensembl:lincRNA